UUCUUCUUACCGUUUUGCAUCUUAACUUUCUUUUGUUUACUUCCCACUUCGACAUCCUAACGAAAAGUUGUGUUGACAUUUGGAAAUCAAGAUUAUAAUUUGUUGUAUUUCGGAUAACAAUGGUCUGACUAAUAAUAAACGCCUGUGAGUACGUAGCCAAGAAAAUUGGCCGCGCUCUGGGCGUCACCAAGGGCGAACCAUCGUCAAGGGGCGUAGCAAAAUGUUCUGGCAGAUCAGAGGGGGAGAAAUAUCAGCGAAUUACUGAUGAUCAUGGGAGCGAAAUGCCACAGUCAGAAGAAGUGCCAUACAGUGGGAAAACCGUGUGUAAUAAGACAUCGGGAUGAGGUUAAAGAAAGGCAACUCUGGUUGUCUUAGAAAUCACUAGUUCUACUGCCGAUUUAUCUCCCUUGUUUGUCUACAAACAAGGAUUCAUGAACGACCAGUUUUAAACGUGUUAAUGGAAAUUGGUUGUGAAGUUUAAAUCUGCUAUAGAAAUAGUAUUUCUGUUUUCAGUGUGAAUAUCAAAAGGACACAUUUACGUUAUGUACAUCUGUAUAUCAAUAUGUGAAUACCGAGCGUGUUUAUUUAUCGUAUACAUGUACAACUGUUACGCGGAUUUACUGUGACUUUUUAUCUCAGGAAAAACGAUUUUGUCGCAUGCAUAUCAGCCCUAUUGAAUUGAUUUUUAGCGUUUUAUGACAUGAUGUAUCAGAAAUUUUAUUGAUUACAUAAUGUGCAACUUCAAUCAACUAAGAUUUCGACUCUGCCUAAAAAUGUUUCUUCCAUAUUUGCAUAAUUUGGGACAUAAGUAGUGAAUAUCGAAAUUAAAUAGAAUUGGAAAGUACAAUAUUUCAUGGAAUACAAUAGACUAACUAAAAAAUAUACAGUGUAUUUAUUCUAUAACAAUGAUUAUUUAUAUGUGUUGAAUUUGUUACAAUAUGAAUCCGUUUCAUUGUUUUAUUCUAGAUUUGUAUGAAAUACAGGUAAGCGUGUCAAUGAUAAGUUGGAUAAAAACAUGUCUUUGACUUGGUAUCUAUCUUUGAUGCACCACGCUUAACGAAUAAAUCAAUAAAACACAGGAUAUUGUGCAAAUCGA